GGUAUUUUCUGUUUGGGUCUGGGGUCAGGGUGCUGGGAUCGUGGUGAAGCAGCGACUAACUGCGGCUGCUGAAGAGAUAUUUGGGCUGUUUGAAAGAACCAUAGCAGAGUACGAGGAGGAACUUUGUCGUUCUAAAGAGGAGAACCACCGACAGCGACACCUGCUGGACGCC